rnacentral:rRNA from 1 species
UACGUAGGGCGCAAGCGUUAUCCGGAAUUAUUGGGCGUAAAGAGCUCGUAGGCGGUUUGUCGCGUCUGCUGUGAAAUUUCGGGGCUCAACCCCGAACUUGCAGUGGGUACGGGCAGACUAGAGUGUGGUAGGGGAGACUGGAAUUCCUGGUGUAGCGGUGAAAUGCGCAGAUAUCAGGAGGAACACCGAUGGCGAAGGCAGGUCUCUGGGCCAUAACUGACGCUGAGAAGCGAAAGCAUGGGGAGCGAACAGG